rnacentral:lncRNA from 1 species
CAAGCUUGCGUCGGUCAACAAUAACGAGAACUAAAUUCAGUGAACUUCAAAAGGAAAUCGAAAGGAGACCCUAACACGUGAAAAUUACCUAUGCCGAAAGUACGGAUGGAUGGAUGGACAUAACACUCUUUGAUUUGUCUAUCGUUUUUGCAUACAGUGACAAAUGUUUCUCUCGUCUUCGACAGGCCUAACAGUAACAAGAAAAAUCAUAAGAAUUGAACCUCUAGAAUUUG